rnacentral:rRNA from 1 species
UACGUAGGGGGCAAGCGUUGUCCGGAAUUAUUGGGCGUAAAGAGCUUGUAGGCGGUUUGUCGCGUCUGCUGUGAAAUUUCGGGGCUCAACCCCGAACUUGCAGUGGGUACGGGCAGACUAGAGUGUGGUAGGGGAGACUGGAAUUCCUGGUGUAGCGGUGAAAUGCGCAGAUAUCAGGAGGAACACCGAUGGCGAAGGCAGGUCUCUGGGCCAUAACUGACGCUGAGACGCGAAAGCGUGGGGAGCGAACAGG